rnacentral:snRNA from 1 species
AUACUCACAUGGUGGGGGAGAACCUGACCCCAAGGUAGUUUCUCAGGCCAAGGUUCUUCCAUUGUUCUUGAAUAUACUGACCCUACAAGCUCUUCAAAUGCAGGAAAGUUGAAUCCAUCAUUUGUGGUAAUGAGGAACUUCAUCCUUG